GGANUUCGNAUGGGGGAACCCUGACGCAGCAACGCCGCGUGGGUGAUGAAGGCCUUCGGGUCGUAAAGCCCUGUCAAGUGGGAAGAAACAUGUCAUGGCUAAUAUCCAUGGCACUUGACGGUACCACUGGAGGAAGCACCGGCUAACUCCGUGCCAGCAGCCGCGGUAAUACGGAGGGUGCAAGCGUUGUUCGGAAUUAUUGGGCGUAAAGAGCGUGUAGGCGGUCGGGUAAGUCAGAUGUGAAAGCCUUCUGCUUAACAGAAGAAGUGCAUUUGAGACUGCUCGGCUGGAGUACGGGAGAGGAGAGUGGAAUUCCCGGUGUAGAGGUGAAAUUCGUAGAUAUCGGGAGGAACACCGGUGGCGAAGGCGGCUCUCUGGCCCGAUACUGACGCUGAGACGCGAAAGCGUGGGGAGCAAACAGGAUUAGAUACCCUGGUAGUCCACGCCGUAAACGAUGGGCACUAGGUGUAGGAGGUAUUGACCCCUUCUGUGCCGAAGUUAACGCAUUAAGUGCCCCGCCUGGGGAGUACGGCCGCAAGGCUAAAACUCAAAAAAAUUGACGGA
rnacentral:rRNA from 1 species